rnacentral:pre_miRNA from 1 species
AUCCCCUGCCCACAAAGAGCUUACAGUCUAGAGAAGGAGACAGAUAUUCAGCCUCAUCCCUCUAGCCUGCGAGCUCUUGUGGGCAGGGAAU